ACUGCCGGUAGAUGCCUUACAUGUAUUCUGCUGUGUCGCAUGUGUGUCAGUCAGUGGCAAAGAGGAGAGAGGCUGUUUAUGGUCAGUGUUCUGACCUGUAAACAUUUGAAUCAUUAGUAGCCUAAACUU